rnacentral:rRNA from 1 species
GACGAACGCUGGCGGCGUGCCUAACACAUGCAAGUCGAACGGAAAGGCCCUGCUUUCUUGGGGUGCUCGAGUGGCGAAGGGGUGAGUAACACGUGAGUAACCUGCCCUUGACUUUGGGAUAACUUCAGGAAACUGGGGCUAAUACCGGAUAGCAGCUGACGCUGGAUGGUGGGGGUUGGAAAGUUUCGGCUGUUGGGGAUGGACUAGCGGCUUACCAGCUUGUUGGUGGGGGAGUGGCUUACCAAGGAUUUGAAGGGUAGCCGGCGUGGGAGGGGGACCGGCGUCAAUAGGCCUACGGUAGGGACCAGAGUGCAACGGGGGACAACGGGGGGAAGUAUUACCCAGUGAGAGGGAGCGGGAUGCGGAGACGCCGGGUGUGGGAAGACGGCUUUCGGGUUGUGAACCGCAUUCGGCUGUGACGAAGCGUUAGUGACGGUAAUGGGUGAAGAAGCACCGGCUAACUACGUG